CUUUCUGAUGCAAUGUCUUGAAAUCGAUCUAAAAAUAGAUUAUAACGUUAGCAAUGGCUAUUUAAAUUGAGAAGUUACACAGUUCAAUUCAUUUAUUCACGAAACAUGGACAGAUUGUAAGACAGAAACAUCAGACGACAUCGCAAUGUGCUAAAAUUCUAAUAAGAAAUCAUAAUUUGUCUCCAAAUGAGAGACAUGAGGCCAAUGGAGGCCUCCUGGGGAUUAGCAGAAGCAAUAGAGAUAUUAUGGGGAUAAUCCGAGUGAACUACUAUAAAUGUAGUGCAUAAAGGGGGACGGCGGAACUACAUGUAUGAUGUGCAAGCCGCGCCAUGAGUAUGGAGCCGGCUGCACGCCUGAAGAUCACCACCUUUCAAAAUGGCGACCCCGAUCCUAAUGGCGUAUGCCCGGGCCCUGUUGCCCGGGCUUACACCCCUGUCCUUUCUGGUUAGAGACGGGCGUUUCACACUGGCGUCCAGAGUCAGAAACUUCUACGCUGUCGGUCUUCUUCGAAUGCUGACAGCUCUCGAAAUCACCAUGGAAACUGUGAGAUAUCGCGAGAAGUCAGAGCGAGAGGACGACUUACCCACAACAUACUGCAAAAAUUUAUUUCUGAAGGAUAGAAAAGGAACUUUUUAUUUGGUAAUUUACAAAGAAGAUUCAAUACUGGAUCUAAAACUGUUGAAGAAACAAGUUAAGGCUUAUCGUAAUUUUUCGUUUGCAAGCCACGCAGAACUGAAAACUAUAAUGAAAGUCAAUUGUGUCACCCCGUUUUCCUUAGUUUAUUUGUCGACGGCGAAUGUCCAAAUUGUUGUAGCCAAGAGUUUACUUCAAGAAACUUCUAUAAACUUUCAUCCUCUAGACGGCCGAUUUACGACCAGAAUUUCUUUCGAUGACCUUGAAUUAUUUCUGAAAUCAAUGGGAAGAUAUAGAGACGUUAAAUUCGUUGACAUAUGAGAUUUGUUGAAAUAAACUCUGUCAAUAAAUUAUAUGCUAUAA